GACGACGCUGGCGGCGUGCCUAACACAUGCAAGUCGAGCGGGGUUGUCUCUGGCACUGAGUAUUUGGGAAGGUUAAAGGGACAAAAUAUUCAGUGCUGGAGAUAACCUAGCGGCGGACGGGUGAGUAACACGUGGGUAACCUGCCUUUGACUGGGGGAUAACAGCCAGAAAUGGCUGCUAAUACCGCAUAAGCGCACAGCAUCGCAUGAUGUGGUGUAGAAAAGCGUCAGUGGUGUGAGAUGGAUCCGCGUCUGAUUAGCUAGUUGGUAGGGUAAGAGCCUACCAAGGCGACGAUCAGUAGCCGGCCUGAGAGGGUGAACGGCCACAUUGGGACUGAGACACGGCCCAAACUCCUACGGGAGGCAGCAGUAGGGAAUUUUCCGCAAGUGGGGGAAACCCUGACGGAGCAACGCCGCGUGAGGGAAGAAGGUCUUCGGAUCGUAAACCUUUGUCAUCGGGGACGAUCAUGACGGUACCCGAGGAGGAAGCCCCGGCUAACUACGUG
rnacentral:rRNA from 1 species